UUCCCCCAAACCAAGCCUCAAUUGAACCGACGAUUUAAAACUUAAACCGUCAAACCAAAAUUACUAGUGUCGAUCGACACUCGACCUCACUCGGAUUUCGGGUCACGGGCUUUACAAUUCUCCCCCACUAACUAGGAUUCGUCCUCGAAACCUUCAACACGUCCGUCAGUACACCACUGACCCCCGAGGCUCCUAUCUAAUGAAUAUACUCACGUUCGAGUCAUACCGGCCCACUAUUAGGCCACCCGCCUUCUAGCUACGGUAUCCGGGAAGUCUCACGCUCGCUCUCGGGUCGUCACCCUCAAGCGUGCACUCGAAUCGUCAUCCGAGGCCAUCACAUCAUAUCCGAGGAAAAAAGUCUAAACGCCCUCGAGCAUAUCUCUCGAUCAGAUAUACCUCCCGUGGUCCACUUAUAGCAUCGCAAUGCUAUACUAACCACCACCCCGAGACUUUUCAAACAUAGAACCGUCAAACCCGACACUUUCUAUUUUUAGAAACUCGCACAUAUUUCUUUAACACAUGACACCACAAGUCAAUCCAAGAAAUACUCAUCUUAUUAAUCUCAAAUGUCAUAAUCAUUACACCAAAACGAAAAUACAAAAGAGAUACAACCAAAACAACUCGAAAACAACACAAGCCAACGGUCUACUCCUCGACCUGCUUGUCAAACCACUUCCGGAACCUUGACUUCAUCCUGACCACUGGCUCCCAAGUCUCCUCCAAGACUCCAUCACAGUCCCACUGGACACUCAUCAAAGGAAUCUUCUUCCGUCAAAGUUCCUUUACACGCCUCUCGAGAACCCUCAAUGGUCUCGCCUCUAAGGUCAUGCUAGGCUGAAGAUCCGCCGGAAUCGUAGCCAACACCAUCAUCCUUGUGCAGACACUUCCUCAGCAUCGACACGUGGAAUAACUUUUGAAAUGCAUGCAUCACCUCAGGUAACUCCAACCGAUAAGCCACCGGUCCAACCCGCUCCACAAUCCUGAAAGGACCCAUAAACCUCGGACUCAGCUUAGUCUCGGUAAGGGACCUGUUAGGACCACGCAACAUCGCCAUCUUGAGAUACACCAUAUCUCCAACCUCAAACUCCAACUCCUUGUGCCUCUUAUCAACAUAACACUUCUGCCGAUCCUGCGCCUCUCUCAUGUUCAGCUUCAGAACCCGAAUCUUCUCUGAAGUCUCCUGAACAAAAUCCGCACCAUAAAUGCUCCUCUCCCCCACUUGGGUCCAGCAUAGAGGUGUCCGACAUGGUCUCCUAUACAACGCCUCAUAAGGAGCCAUCCCAAUACUCGCCUGGUAGCUAUUAUUAUAAGCAAACUCCACCAAGCUCAAGUGGUCUGCCCAUUGACCACCCCAGUCCAGCACACACAUCCUCAACAAAUCCUCAAGUGUCUGAAUGGUCCGCUCAGACUGCCCGUCUGUCUGAGGAUGGUAAGCCGUGCUUAAAUGCACCUUAGUACCCAUCUCCUUCUGGAAAGCUUUCCAGAACGCCGAAGUGAAAUUCGAAUCCCGGUCUGACACAAUACUGGCCAGUACUCCAUGAAGUCUCACAAUCUCCUGCAAAUACUUCUUAGCUAACACUGCCGCUCCAUCGGUUUUCUUGGUAGCCAAAAAAUGUGCAGACUUAGUCAAACGGUCCACAAUGACACAAAUGGCAUCCUUGAACCGAGACACUGGCAAACCUACCACGAAAUCCAUCGUGAUCAUGUCCCAUUUCCACUCUGGAAUAGGGAGACUCCACAAUAAUCCACUCGGCACCUGAUGCUCAGCCUUCACUAGCUGACAUACAUCGCACUUAAAGAACCAUUUAGCCACAUCCCUCUUCAUCCCGACCCAAUGAUAGUACCGCUUCAGAUCUCGGUACAUCUUGGUCGCUCCUGGAUGAAUAGAGAACCUACUCGCAUGAGCUUCACUCAAGAUCUCUCGUCUCAACUCCUCAUCCUUGGCCACACAAUCCCGCCCAUGCACAAGGAUAGUACCAUUGCCUGCAACAUGAUACUAUGACUCAAUAUCCUUAGAAGCAUUAACCAACCCUGCAUCCUUCUCCUUAGCCGCUCGAACUCUGGUCAGAAGAUCUGCUCGGUUAGCUGCUUCUAACCCUAGUGGCUCCUGAGAAAUAACACACAACUGCAAGGUGCUAAGUUCUCCCACCAAGGUCUCCAUAUCCUGCGCUCGAGCUGAAACCGCCCGCUUCCAGCUCAGAGCAUCUGCAACCAGAUUAGCCUUACCAGGAUGGUAAGCUAUCUCCAGAUCAUAGUCUGCAACCAACUCCAUCCAGCGCCUCUGCCUCAAGUUCAACUCAGGCUGCGUGAAUAUAUACUUCAGACUCUUAUGAUCUGUAAACACCUGAACUUUCCCUCCAUACAGAGAAGAUCUCCAAAUCUUCAAAGCAAAGACCACCGCUGCCAUCUCCAAGUCAUGAGUAGGGUAGUUACCCUCAUGCGUCCGCAACUGCCGUGAAACAUAGGCAAUCACCUUACCUUGCUGCAUCAACACAAACUCCAAACCAACUCCCGAAGCAUUCGUGUACACCACAUACGGCUCUCCAUGCUCCGGUAAAGCCAAAAUUGGCGUACUCGUCAACAUCCCCUUGGGCUGGGCGAAACCCUGCUCACACUCAGGAGUCCACACAAAAGGAUCAUCCUUCCCCGUCAGCUUGGUCAUCGGCUGAGCUGUGAUGGCAAAGCCCUUCACAUACCGUCUGUAGUAACCCGCCAAUCCUAGAAAGCUCUGAAUCUCUGUGGCAUUCUGCGGUCUAGGCCAAUCCCUGAUAGCCUCAAUUUUCUCUGGAUCCACAGAAACUCCCUCUGCAGACACGAUAUGACCCAUAAAACCCAUCUCUUUCUGCCAGAAACUGCACUUGCUAAGCUUAGCCUACAGCUUCUGCUCCCGCAACUACUCCAACACUGCCCGCAAGUGCCCCUCGUGCUCCUCAGGACUUUUAGAAUACACCAGAAUAUCAUCGAUGAAGAUGAUAACAAACUCAUCCAAAAACGCCUAGAACACACUGUUCAUCAGCCUCAUGAACGCCGCUGGUGCAUUAGUCAACCCGAAAGGCAUCACCACGAGGUUGUAAUGCCCAUACCUCGUUCUGAACGCCAUCUUACGCAUAUCCGCCUCGUCGAUAGAAAUCUGAUGGUACCCCGACGCUAAAUCAAUCUUAGAGAACCACGUAGCUCCCCUCAACUGAUCCAACAACUCAUCAUUCCGCGGUAGAGGAUACUUGUUCUUUACCGUGACUCGGUUAAGUCCCCGGUAAUCGAUACACACCCAGAAACUCCCAUCCUUCUUCUUAACGUACAACACCGGUGCUGCCCACAGUGAAACACUAGGACGGAUGAAACUCUUAUCCAAUAGAUCCUCCAACUGUUUCUUCAGCUCAGCCAUCUCCGCUGGAGCCAUCCGGUACGGAGCAUUAGACAACGGCGUCGUUCCGGGCUCUAACUCAAUUGUGAAGGGAUCAGACCGAGAUGGUGGUAACCCCUUCAACGACUGAAACACAUCCUCGAACUCCUAGACCACUCGGAUCUUAUCCACUGCUACCUCUCCGACCGUCUCUGGCAUCACAAUUGUCGCCAAGUAAGCUUCCCGCCCCUUUCAGAUCAUCUUAUCUGCCUGCAUCGCCGAAAUCACUAAACUCCCAGAAAUCGGUCCCACCCCCUGGUAAUACAUCUUCGGACCGGGCCGCUCGAAAUAGACUCUCCCCCGAUGACAAUCCAGAUGAACUAUGUGCCGAUCCAACCAAUCCAACCCUAGAAUUACAUCAUACAGCUCCACCGGACUAAUGUACAGAUCUGCCGGCAUCGACUCUCCCGCAAUCUGUACAUCCACACGACUAGCCCGUCCCUGAACCGCUAGCAACGCGCCUCCUACGACUCUGACGGCUCCAAAACAACCAUCGGGAUCUCCUCGGAUGUUACCACCCGUCGCGCACUCUGUGGUAAUGAAGCUAUUCGUAACUCCAGAAUCAAACAUCACGUGGGACAAGAACCUGCCCACCAAUAGGGUCCCUACACAAACCCUUUUCACUAAGACCGCCCACCAAAAAUCACAAGAAAACAACUCAAAUUUUAAAACCACAGAAGGAAAAGACUGAGACUUAGAAUUAAACCUGUGAUCGGCCGUCCAGUUUUUGCUCUCCUGUCUCCACGGUCGAGUACCCCCGCGAUCCCUCAAUCAGUGCCACCGGCGGUGCUCCCAGCUGAGCCAAAGACUGCCCUCCAAGCUGCAAUCAUGGCUGCACCCACUACUGCACUACUGGCUGCAUCACCGGCUGCACCGCUGCUACCGCCAUCUGCUGCAACUUAAGACACCUCGUCUUGAUGUGCCCUGUCUCUCUGGAGUGGUAAGCGACACGGGUAUCCACCCACGGCUCGCCCUUCUUCGGGCAGCUCGCCACCUUGUGAUCCGUGUUCCCACACCUGAAGUACCUCCGAUCAACCUGACUCACCCCAGAAGUGUCGUCCCACUUCCUCUUCUGCCCCCGAGCAGGUUUGCCACCUCUGCUCGGAACCGCCUACGGCUGAGUCUUCUUUGGCUGUACCGACGAACUAGGAAUCACCCCGUGACUUCUCAACUCGUCCUCGAUCCCCGCCGCCACCUGAACCAGCUCCACACGCGAUGCAUAGGCCUGCACCUCAUGUCAGGGCUGAGACCCUUCAUGAACCGACGCACCUGCAUCUGCUCAGGAUCUCCCGCACCCCCCGAGUACACCAGGAGUCGGCUGAACUCCGAGUCAUACACCCGCACUAACCGCUCGCCCUAAGUCAACGCUAAGAACUGCGACUCCAUCCGGUCCAGUGUCUCUGCCGGGAAAUAUUUGGCAUUGAACUCUGCCACGAAAUCUCCCCAUAGCGCCAAUCCCUGACCCCUCUUGGCCAGCACACUCUGUCAUCACAAAUGUGCAUCACCGGCCACGUAGUGGGCCGCCAGGUCCACCCGAUACGCCUCCGCGCACCUCAUCGACUGGAAAUACCGCUCCAAUCGUACCUGCCACUCAUCCGCUACAGCCGGGUCGGAUCCUCCGAAGAACAAGAACAUCCCGAACCGUUGCAGCCGCUCUAACAUCCGCAUGUAGUAUGGCUGCUCGACCACCACACCUACCCCUCAGGCUGUACAACCCCGACAACGGGCUGCACACCAGGCCCAACGGGCUGCACACAAGGCCCAACAGGCUACACACCAGGCCCAACCGGAGCCUGCACCACAGGCCCAACAGGAGCCUGCACCUCAGGCCCAGCAAGAGCCUGUACUGGUGGUACCGCACCCGGUAACCGCUCCAAGAGCUGCGUCAACAGAUCCGCAAGUUGAUCAUUCUAACCAUGGGCUCCACCUGCUGGAACACCCUCAACCGGGUUUCCAACAAAACUAGUACCGUUCCCGGACGAACCGGCUCCCACGGCACUCACACUCUCACCACCCACGGGUCCCUCGUGAUGCGACUGGGAAUCGCUAACAAAAUCGGCCGUAACACUCCGGUCCACACUCGUAUCGGUACCCGAGGUAACACCACGCCCCCUACCGCGACCACGCCCACGACCAGGACCACGACCACGACUGACAGCUCCACCUCCAACCAUCUGCAUCACAACAGAAGGCUAAGAACACCAAACAAAAACACCACACCAUACAACUUACCGUGGAAUCUCAUUGAAGGCUCGAGAGGAUGAUCUAGGUCUCCAUGCUCACACAAUUGAUUAAACACACAAUCAAUCAGCAUGCUAUCCACAUCAUCAUUCCUCAUCAAUGAAAUUCACACAUCACAUCACAAUUUACCAAUUAAAUCUCGUCCUAGAACCGUAAAUGCUCUGAUACCAAAUUGAAAGAAUCCAUCCCCAUUUUUUUUUUAAAAAAAACAUGCAAACCGGAUUAACCUAAUUAAUUAAAACCAGCUAAACCGGCCAUAAUAAUUUAAAUCAAUUAAACCAAGCACAUAUAACAUAACCAGCAGAAGACUUAAACACAAUCCAUGAAAUUAAUUCCAUUAAACCAACAAGUUCAACCAAACAUUAUUCCAAAACAUGAUCAUCCUAACAUGUUUCUAAAUUCCAUUCUAACACCCUAACAAAUCCAACAAUAAUCUAAAACACCAAUGAGCACCUAGAUCAUCCUCCUCUCCUCGCCAUGAUUCCACGGAUCACACUUUAGCUUUACCUGCAUUACAGUAAGAGAUGCAUAAGUAUUUCAUAAAUACUUAGUGAGGCAAUCAUCCCACCACUGGCUAUACACACAAGCACAUUCAGCCAUUAACCAAAGAAAAGAACCAAACAACCAAUAAAAGAUAGACCAUAAUCGCUUCUGACUAUCGGUGUCGAUCGACACCCACCACUGGUGUCGAUGGACACUCCCUGCCGAGCCUCACGGUCGACACCGGUCUCGACACUCCGAUCGUAAGACGCAGUUAUCCUCGCGAGACAAAAAGUUGGUGUCGAGCGACACUCACCCUUGGUGUCGAUCAACACCGACUCUCUACGAACGCUCAAACUGCAUUUCUCACUGGAUCUCUUCUCCAAAUCACCAUCAUCAUAUGAGCGAGUCUCCAAGGGGUUCCACAAGCAUCAAUCAUCAAAUAAACAGCCAAACAAGCAAAGAAAUCAAUCAAACAAUCAUCAAACUCCUAAACCAAUGAUCAAACAUGCUUAGAUAAGCCUGGUCAUGCACUCACCUCUUUAAACAAGAAAGAACAGCAACGAAGAGGGACUUGCAAGGGUGGAACUAUCUCCACAGACACCAAAUACCACAGAUCAACCUUCCUCUAGCCUUGAACCACCAAGAACAAGCUUUGAUCUUUCCAAAAACCCACUCAAAGGCACCAAAAAGGAUCAAACUCACUCUCUAUUCUCUCUCAAACUCACAAAGCGACAAAGUGCAGUUUAAAGAGAGAAACGGCGCUCCAAAGCUUAUAAAGACGACCUAGGUUUUCACCCAAACCAAGCCUCAAUUGAACCGACGAUUUAAAAGUGAAACCGUCAAACCAAAAUUACUAGUGUCGAUCGACACCCGACCUCAGUGUCGAUCGACACCCGACCUCAGUGUCGAUCGACACCACCCGGAUUUCCGGUCACGGGCGUUACAACGAGAACGAGGAGGAAACGCAAAUCACGCUUGUAUGUGUGUGUGUGUGUGUGUGUGUGUGUGUG
rnacentral:lncRNA from 1 species